GCAGUUGCCAAGUUACCAGGAUCAGGUCAUGAUUCAUACAGCAGACAGCCAUAUUAGGAAAUACCUUUAAGUAUAAAUACCAUUUGAAGGAAGGCUGUUUUUAUCUAUACUUUCAUGACAAAACAAUGGGUCUGAUUGUUAUUUACCCUGAAAAAUUUGCUAAAAGACUUCAGCUUUCUGUCAGAAUAAAGUAGAAUUAAUUAUGAAGUUAUAUACGUAGUUAGUUCACAACAGCCAUCCAUGAAUGGAAGACUGACAUCGCACAAGGAAACUUAGGUGUCCGAACAAAUCUAGUGGAAUCCAGCACCUUCCUACUGAUUCUUCUACGUCUGAUACUUGUCAGUGUGUCUAGGGCCUUGUGCAAUCCUGCCAAUGUGCCAUAGCAGGAGUUUCACCAGAGCAGUAACUCUGUAUGGCAGAGCCUGGCGAGGCACCGAGGUUCACCCAUGUUCCGGCAUCGACACCGGCUGAGCUCCUGGCGCCUGUGGACAGGGUCACUCGAAGGGCAGGGCUGAGACAAAAGGUUUAUUAAAGUUUAAACAACCUGGUUGCUGUGAAGGUAUCUUUCAUUUGUUCUGACAUCUCCACUGUCAGCAGGAAUGACAAAGUGUUUAUCACUCGCUUUCUCUAGGACUGAGGGAAAUGGAAAUCUGGAAGGGUUUAGCUGGGGUGUCCAGCCAAGAUGAGCCAUGGGGUUUGGUGGUGUGAUAGCAAACGUUAAUGAACAGGCAGGGCAAAUGUUGCCAAGAGGAAGUUUGAAGGACACCAAGACAUCUUAAUUUCUGAUGUCUCCAAGAUACCCUUCUUAGAGAAUCUGCAGCAUGUGGUGAGAGCCUCCAAGCAAGAAUCUCUUUUGGAUCUGCCAGGAGAGAACGGGCUCUUCAAAAGGCAACCAGAUUGAAACCUAUGGCUCUGAGGAUCAAGGCCUGAACCCUCAGUACUAGGAGAACUUGGAAAGACUGGUUGCAUCUGUGAGAGUAUAAAACAACAUCGUUUUUUCAUGUCUUCUCAUGCUUUCCCAAAUACUCGGUUACCCUAGUGUUACCUCUCUCUCAUCAAGUUCCUUGCAAAGAGGUUUUUCUGAGAUGCUCAAACACAUUCGUCAAGCUUUCUGAGGUAGAAAUAUAAAACUGAGUGUCAUCAGGAUUCCCUUUAGGCCAUGGCUCCUCUGAACUAAAUUGAGCAUUUGUAAAAGAGAAAUUAAUCUGCCUUUGUGUUAAGGCUCAGGGGCUGAAGAGGAAUUGUCCUGCCUUACCCUCAGGCUUUCUGUCUUCAAGAGUUUGCAAGUCAGUAAGUACCACAUCACUCCUGGCUCAAAAGUUUUUGCUAGAUCAAAGUAAGGACAUCUAAGGACUAAUAGGAGUUUCAUCAUCUCUAGCAAGUGAUGCUUCUUGCUGUCAGUCAGACAAACUGACUGGCAGAAACGUGUAGCUUCAGUAGAUGGCUGAUGACCAUCCAAAUACAGAUGUCAGAGACUGAGGCUUGUAAGGCAGAGAUCUUCGUUAUGAGCUGCUUUUGCUGUGUUUCUCACUAAAUGCCAGUAGUGAAACUACAGCCUUAAAUUGAUCGAUAUUUUGCCAUCACCUUGAGGAAAGUAAAGAUUUCACCUGCCGAGUUUGAGACUUUUCUUCUCUACUAAUGUGUGCAGAGAGGGCAAGGGUAGGCCUCCCAGGGAACUGAACUGAAGAAAGGCUUUCCAUUAAAAAAAUAUAAAAAGCUUCCUUUUAUAAAGCUAAUUUUAGUCUUCUGCUUAACACCCUGUCCAAGGAAAGGACAAGGCAGUGACAACUGUCUCUUUAAUGUUACUAGUUUAGGACUGAAAAACUUUUGUUAGAAGUAAGUGACUUUAGUCAAGGAUUUUUGUAGUGAUAACAGAGAGUUGUUUGGGAUGUGUUACAACAUUAGGAUAAGCUUGGAUGUUGGCUCUAGAUAUUUGGCAUUGUGAGAGUUAAAUAAUUUGUUUUUAUUCUUUCCUAAUCAAUAACUGAUAUUUUGGAUUGCAUCACAGUUACUGUAUGAGCAUUGUAGAUGACCAUUUUUUCUCUUCAUUAAGACUCUGGUCAUUUUUUACUGUAACUUAUUGAGAUCAAUAAAAGCUUAAUGUGUUAA